rnacentral:rRNA from 4 species
GCGCUCUUGGGAUAUGCCUGAGAGCAUGUCUGCUUCAGU